GUAGGAGGAAACUAUUGGGAUGGUGUUCUGGCAUUAAUGUGACAGUAAAAAGGAAGAGUAUAUGGGCAGUGAGUAAACAAAUCCUUUUGAAAUAUGAUUAAGUGUCAAGAUAAGAAAAACCAUGAGAACUAGAGGGCAGAUCAUUGUGUUUCUGUCUACACUCUCUACAAGUACCAGUAUAACCUGAAGGAGCUUGGCACGUUCGUAUCUACUGGCACAUUUCCCUCUACAGGAUGGGAGCUGGUCAACUCCAUAUUCCUCAGAAGUUUGAGAUCAGGUUCUUCACGUGCCUAAUUUGGACUUAAUUCAAGGCUGGGAUAAAUCAUUACAACUCAGAUGAAGUCAGUAAGAGCACAGUGACUUACAUCAGCUCUGUGUCAGUAAAUACUGACAAAAUUGAUCUCAAACUUUUUCAGAACAAAAGAUUUUUGAAGAUGGAUUAAACAACAUAAAUGCUGAGCUGUUUUGCUAGACUGCAAAUGGCAUAACACAUGCUUUGUGUGACAUCUCUGAAUUAUUCCUUCGUGGCAAUGUUGACAUUAUAUGGUAUUGACUCAUGGAAGAAGCUUAAAUACCCUUUUAAGUUUUCAAGACUCUUUGACAAAGCACUAUUUCAUUAACAAAAUGUUAAUGGAAUCUGUGAAGCCUGAAUAUACAGCAUAGCCUGCUGGUUUCAAGAAGCUGUAUUCACUGACCUAGAGGAGUGACUGCCAUAGAGCACUACAACCUCUAUUUUUAGAAUGCACCUUGUGCAGGACACCCAUGGGCUGAGUAAGGAGAACGUGAGCUUCCGUUACUUCCCCCAUCAAACAGGAUUAUCACACCUUCUGCUGGAGAAGGUCAAAACAGCACUGACAUGGGAAAUGGAUAAUAUAAGGUAAAGCAGGAGGGACAGCAGGGUUGGCAUUGACUUGAAGCUAAGGCUUCUUGCUUGGGACAAGGAGGAAGACCUAGAGAGCACCACUUUGCAUAAUGCAUACUCUGAAGUCAUCUUUGGGAAAGGAGCAGUGAUGUGCCUACAGCUAAAGCUGUUGGCCCUUAGUACUCUGCUGACCCUCAAAUAACUACAGGUUUUUCUAUCUGACAUGCCUAUUGCUCAAAACAGAUCCCAGUUUCCACAUUCUUGAUCCAAUCCAAAGCAGGAACCCAAGAGUGAGACCAGGGCAGACCAAGGCAACACCCAAAUGCUGCACUGCUGCAUGUUUGAAGGAGGUUGGCCCCUCCCUGGUUUUCUACAAGAGGGCAAUAAAUGCAACAAAACUCAACCCUGGAAAAACAGCAGCUUUUUUCAGACAUGUUUUCCAAUGGAGGAACAGAUUUUUUAUCAUCAGCCACCCACAACUUUUUUUUUUUUUUGAAUCAAUAAACUUGUAACUGUUUAUAAUACAUGCUGCUGGUGACUGUGACAUGCUCACAAUGCAUAUUCAACUUUUAACUCUGUGAAUUUAUCACUUGUAAGUUCUUUGCAUGAACAGCGACAGAGCUUUUCAAUGGCAAAAUUCACCCACACGCUGAAAAGUCAACUUCCUAAAGCCAAUCAUGUCUGCUGUUUUCUGUGUCUGUUACUACUUUACAUAACGUGUUGUUAUGAACAGAUGAGACCAGAAUGGAGGGACAUGGAAAUACUAAACGUCCGUCCGCUCACUGUCUUCUGCAUUGGGUGGCAUUUGGUGUGCCAUCAGAAUCUACAUUUCCUCCUGAACAGUCCAUUUUUCACAUGGAUUUGCGUAAGGUAACCAGGGGAAGAAAAUCACAAGUUAGAAAUUUAAUGAGAAAAACAGCACAUAAACACAAAAAUUGACUGAGGUACCCAAGGGCCACCUUGCAGCCUCAAACUGUGCUUGCACACGAGUCGUCUUUCCAAAUGCCUUGCUCACAAGCACAGAGCAGAGGAAGGCUGCACCACCUGGAGCAUGCUCAGCUGCAUUGCACUGACCCAAGGGAGCACUGCCAGUCCCUGCAAACAGGAUUAGUUCAAGCACAAGGCAAUUCCAACUUUCAGUUCACCACCACUAAAUAGAGGAUAAACUUGCCUGCAGCACAGCAACACAGACAAAGCAGCACUGUAGACUGUCCUGCAAACGUGGCCGUUAGAGGACAAUCAGCUGGGAGACAUUCCUCAAGAUUUCAGUGCAAUUGUGUUAGAAAUAAAAGACAGAAGCUCUUCAAAAAUAAGCAAAUAAAGUCCUGAAUGGUUGCUACAGUAAUGAUGGGCAUGCCAGAAUCAGCCCAGUUUAAUCUCAGCACAAAAUGAAUGCGGCACAUGAGCAGAGAAUCCAGGUGAGCUUUCAGGGCUUGGUAUUCCUACACGUAUGGAAAUACAAUAACCUAAUAAAAGCAAAAGGAAGAUCACACAGACCAUCUCUCAAAGGUUUCGUGGAGAAUAUUGUAACUUUUGGUAUAUAACAGAGUAAAGGACAUACAGAAGAAUCAAAAUUCAAGGGAAUUGCAGAAAGAAGGAUUUUUCCAUCUUGACAGCAAAGUAUUGCGCUCUGUCAAGAACAAAGUUCAGUGUGAUCUCGCUGGGGCCACAAAUGUUCCAGAUGAAUUAACAGAAGUCCAUUGAUCUGCAGGACCAAGCAGGAUGUAUACUGGCUGAAGAUCUGCCCCAUGAGGCUUGUAUCCCACUGCCAAGAAGCCAUCUCCCACCCUACAGAUAGCAUUGGUCAAAACCCGCUGUGAAUAACCACUUUAUAAUGCAAGACACUUACUAUGCAGUGGGUCACUGGUAGCAGAGUUGAAAAAGGGACAUUCAGAUCUGCAAUCACAAGCCUCUAUAGUCAGCACUAAAAAAAUUAGUGCUGUCUCAAAGGCUCUUGUAGACCCAGGAGGAUUAACACCAGUAUUCAAAGAACAGAAUGCUGCGGUAGGUUAGCAAGGGUUAAGGAAAACCAAAGACCUUGAUAUCUUGCAAAUCUACAUGCAUACUGCACAAAAGUUUUCCCCCUCUCAUACUCAAGAUUGCAUUUGUCACACUUUUAGAAAAACCUUUAAUGGAAAUCUCAGAUAUGCUCUGAUAAAGCCAUAAAUAGAAACAACAAGCUCAGGGAAAACAUGCAUCCCAUACUGACCAUCAUUUUCCAUUUUCCUGCUUUUGAGCAAGACUGCAACAGUGCAAAGACCCAAGGACAACUGGAAGACAGAAGCUCACCAGAACAGGCAUCUCUCCUUUAGAUCUCCACUUCCCUACAGUUACAUAGGUUUCUAGUGCUCUAACAACUCAGUAUAGUUACAGCCACAUUUUAACUCAGCUGCCAUGCUCACACCACCACCAGGCACACCUCCCACCAGCUGCUCUUCAAUGAGGGCACUUAUUACUCCAGGAGAAAAUCACCUGUGUAGUAUCAGACUGCUGUUUUUCUUGAGGUAAGAGGUUAUUCACAGACCUGCAAUAAAAUUACAGGAACCAGCUUUCUUCUUUUUAGUCUCUGGAUAGGUCUUUUAGUCAAAAAAAAUUAAAGAACCAAGAAAAGUUGAAUAAAAGGUGAUAAAGCCAACACAGAGACCUUCCAACUGUAAAUACUUGUCACUCUCGGCAUAAUAUGCAACCUUCUAUACACAGUUACAUUUCAGGCAUGUUUAAGUAUCCUUGAGAAAUGACUUUAUGCUGUUAUUAUUCCUCAAGAGCUUCAGAUGAGCUUGGAUCCAUCUCUAUUCAUCAUGUCAGCCACUCUACAGAUAGCUACACACACUUUGCCUGCUCAGUUUUAUUAAACAGCUAACCCUAAGUUUUAUUAAUUCUCGCUGAUCUGCAUAAAUUACAAAGCUCUGUGCUUAUUUAUGUAUCAUAUGCUGACUUCGAUCCAUAUUAAAAUCAAGCAGUGCAUUAGGCCUAAUGGAGCUGGUUCUUCCAUAAGAAGGGCACUCCAAGUCUUGCAUUGCUGUUUGUAACUUGUAUUUCCCCAUUGUUUCUAUGUGCUAGAACUAGUGCUUAACUUCAAGAAGACAUAUCUUUUUGUUGUUGAUAACCGCCUUCCCAAGGACAAAACAAUUGAUUUAUAUGGUAGGUCUUUUACUUUUUGCAUGUUGACUCAUCUGGGUUCACUUCAAACCUUUUAUUCCUCAACAGUUUUACAUCUGUGGGGUUAGUAAACUUCUCUUAAUCAGGGAUAGAGAAAUAUUCUGAAAAUCUGGACUUCAAGCCUGAUCUGUAGGAUUUUAGGUUAGUUGGACUUGAUGAUCGUUAAGAUCUUUUCCAACCUGAGCAAUUCUAUGAUUCUAUGAUUAUAGGUUGAAUAGAGGACGGAUGGAGCUGUGGGACAUUUGAUAUCAGCAGAAGACUUUCAUGCAGCAGUCAGCAGACACACCCCAGCACACAUGCAUGCAUGCAGCAGACCUAGCAUGAGAAUCCCAAAAAUAAUUGCAGCUGUAUUCCUCUUCUCAACCUGAGAAAAGUGACCUUAACAAGGCUAUCGUGGAGCUCUCCUGAGGGUGCUUUACACAGUGGAAGGGAACAUGGCUGUGGACUUGUGUGCCUGGAAGCACAAGGGAGAUGUGCAGGAGCCAGCCAUGAUCACUGUAGUGAUGGUGCCCAGUGUAGUAAGAUAUCCAAACUCUUUAAUAAGGCUUUCAGUAGCACAUUCCUUUGAAGUCCUUCAGAGCAUGACAGCAAUUAACUGAAGACUCAUCUUCCCUCAUGUUGUUUUAUCCACUCUCACUCGAGAUCAACACUUCCUCUGAUGGUAGUGCAAAUUCACACCCCCCAGCUACAAGGAGCUUGCAAAACGACCCGGUUACAAUUACAGACACAAUGAGCAGUACCUUCGGUGUUUCUGGGCUCAUUCUGAUUGUUUCUCAUGGCCUCCAUUUUGCAGAUGUAAGACAGUAGGGCAAUCCACCACUGAGUGCAUCCAGCUAAAAAAACUAGCUGCAAUAGGAUUUUCUCCACCUUGAGAGAAAUAAGGAGACAGCGAGCAGCAGAUAGGCAACAGGGAAGCAUUAAUCCAAAAGUGCUCUUGGAAGAAAGUUUUUCAAGGUUUUCUGUUUACUUGUUCCUGUUGUGGUUUUUUUUUUGUCGUUUGUUUUGGGUUUUUUGGUUGUUUUUUGUUUGUUUGUUUUGGGUAUUGUUUUGAAAGUGAGCAAGGAUGAGGAUAAAAGAGAACUAAUUCCUCACUAAAGGGCCUCCUACAGCCCAAGCAUGGCGGCCUGCUGGCUGCGGCACAGCGCCGUAACCUCUGCACGCAGCCACUUGAACAGGGUUCAAGGCAAUGACUUCACAUGGAGGCAGAGUGCGAAUGGCUUUAAACCACCGCAGCAGUGAUAUAAAAUUGCGGCGUGGCAGCAGGGGGGGCCCUGCAGCCUCACAGCGGGGAGAAGGGGUCUGGGAACAGCCCUCCACAGGGGCAGGCAGAUGUCAGAGGGAAAACAAAAGAGGAUCCGAAGCCUUCUCCUCUGAGCAUCACCUGCAUCCACACAUCGCUCUGUCGGCCACCUCCAGAGCCCUGAGGGCGCAGCAGUUCACCCCUCAGAAGUGAAAAGGAAGGGAUAAAGAGCAGCAACCCGGAAUUUCUGUUCUGUGAGAAAUUCCUGUAUUCCGACAGUCUCUUUGUGCAGGAGGGAAAUGGGAUCUUAAAGGGUUCUUGUAAAACUGAAGUGGUGAGGACACGUUAUCAAAAUGUUCCAUUUUAAUGACGCGCUGUGUUGUAGUCUGAGGGCAUUAAAACAAUCCAAACGUAACAAAACAUAAAGCAAAGCAUGUAACAAACAUGAGAACCACGCCACAAACGCAAAGUAGGAGCCUGAGCAAAUUAAAACAUAUCAGCAUCCUCAAAACCAAACAGUUCAGCAUUACACCAGCAAGGAUGAAAGUCAAAUGAGUCGCUGGAACGCGCUGUGUCUCAAAGCGGAGCAACCAACAGUAUUCCUACGGAAAACUCCAUUUCCAUUCACACUGCACUGAGCUGUUUGAACAUGUUGUGACUGCCAGCACUCAGGAUAUUGCUGCCACCACGACCUCCCCUGCCAAGGUGAUGCAGCGAGCAGCACAGCGCUACUCCUCCUGACGGAAGGAAACCCUAAGAUCUAUAUUUUCUAUAAAAUUGCCUUAUUUCUCAGCCAAGAUACUAUAAGCAGAGGUAAAGCGAAGCUAUUGCUACUGAGACCUCCUUACUGUAAGAAAACAUACCGCAGUGCAUUUACUGAUAUGCUAUGAAAUCACAUAAAUCAUUCUGACAACAUGAUACUUGUCAAAAUAAAGGCAUAAAAUAUGGUUUGAAAUAAAAUAUCCUCAGUCCUGUUUAUUCAUUUGCUUACUCAUGCUGUUUGGCUUUUCUCAAUGGGUUCCCCAAUCGUUGGGGUGAAUUAGUGAGGUUCUGCUGGAAAUACCAAACCACGUGCAUAUUCACAGUCUUAUACACGCUGAAUAUCUGCAUAUAGCUCUGUACAGUCAUUCAACUGAACUGAAAAUAAAGCAUUCAAAGGACACUUUUCCUGUAAUAUUUUUUUCUCUUCCAGUAUUUUUCCCCUCCCCCCUCAAUAUUUCACUAGUGCUUAACGGUGGCAUGGUUUAAGGGAGUCCUGCAUGGAAAGCUCCUUCAGCUGCUUAGCCCAACAGCAUAAAUUUGAUCUCGUAAUUAGUAUUCAGCUCAG
ensembl:lncRNA